AAAUGGGAAAGGUAUAUCUUAACCCUGGCCUAAAAAAUCCGCGCGCAUCCCUUUGAUUUCCAUUCCGCGCGUGGGAUUUUUUUUUCAUCAACCCCCUCCACUUCCGGCCGAGGGAUUUUUUUUCACACCUUUCCUCUUCCGUUUCGCCUCCCCAAAUACCGAUGAGCAUCGCCGGCGCGCCAUCACCGCGAUCCAUCUGAUGGCCAAGAAGCGUCGUCGUCGUCUUCCCCGUGGGGCAGUGGGUGCCCAAGAUCGCCAUCGAUGCCUACGUCGCCCCCAACGUUAUCCUCGCCGGCCAGGUCACCGUCAACGCAUCUCUUCUAAUUCCUCCUUUAAUUCUUUCGCAUGUCACGGAGGCGGCGGUCUCCGGCCCUUCCAGGUCAUUGCUAGGGUUUCUCCGAGAGAGAGAGGAGGGAAGGGGAUAGAGAGAGGUCGGGCCAUGGCGUCCAAGGCCUCGUCUUCGACUUCCGCCAGCAGAUCCAUGCCCCCCGCCGGCCUUCAGCCUGGGAUGUGCCGAGAGAUUGGAUUUUUACUGCAAUGUGGAUGCGUCGUGCGAUUUUUUCUUUGGUGGUUUUGGUCGUGAUGGGAACCACAUUGUCGCAGAGCGAUCUUAUUUCAGAACGGCCGGGCUAAGAGAGUGGUGGUCGCAGCGUUUUCAGCAAGCAAAUUCGCCCUUUCUCUGUGGGAAUUGGUCUCUAACGCCGAGCUGGAGGGAUUUUUGAGGAAAAGUUGAGCCGGGCUUUUUUUUUUUCUGUAACAUACGGGAGUCCAGCUCUUUGGAUAGAAAUCCCUACUCUGAAGAAGCAAGAUUUCGUUUUGCGCUGAUUACUAUACAACAGUUGUUUAGAGGAGUGAAAAAUUGCUUUAUUUCAUAUGGAUUAAAUGGGUUCAGCCUUUAUGUUGCUGUUUCUCUUCUCUUGCAUCCUGUUGCAUUGGGAGGAAGAACAAGAUUCUGGUAUUGUUCCUGAUACCUUCUUUGCAGGAGUUUCAAUGCAAGAAUUCCAUGCACUU